AGUAUACGUGUUCACCUGCUACAGAAUAUGACUCAUCUCUUUAUUUAGUAGCCUAUAUAAAGGCACCAUCGAUACUUUAUUCAAAUAACUGAUUCCAGGCAGAUUGAAAGAGUUAUUUCAAAGCUAAAGAUCAAGAUGAGUAUCAUAGUUACAGCUAUUGUGUUUUCUCUGUGUCUUGUGAGUUUCAGUUAUGGUAAGAAAUUCGAAGAUUUGGACACAAAUAAUGACAAUAAAUUGACAUACGAUGAAUUUGAACCUUUUUUCGGAGUGUUUGACUUGGAUGGUAACAGUGAAGUUACCCUGGCGGAGCUUAUAAAGGAAUCCGGAUUGGAAAAAGCUAAAGCCGAAGCUGUAUUUAAAGUAUACGACAAAAAUGGAGACGGAAAAGUUGAUAAAAAUGAAUUAAAAAGUCGUUUCAAUGAAUUUGAUGCUAAUGGCGAUGGGUCAAUAUCUUCAACUGAAUACUAUGCAGAGCUAACAGACUAUAUUUUAACAAGACUUAAUUAAAGAUUCAUUAUGUACGAUUUCGAUAAAAAGCUGACCAGGUCUCGCUAUAAUAGUUUUAAAAUGGA